rnacentral:rRNA from 1 species
CCUACGGGAGGCAGCAGUGAGGAAUUUUGCACAAUGGGGGAAACCCUGAUGCAGCGACGCCGCGUGACCGAAGAAGCCCCUCGGGGUGUAAAGGUCUUUUCUGAAGGAUGAAUUAUGGCAGUACUUCAGGAAUAAGCCACGGCUAAUCUCGUGCCAGCAGCCGCGGUAAGACGAGAGUGGCAAGCGUUAUCCGGAAUUAUUGGGCGUAAAGCGUCUGUAGGCGAUCUGGCAAGUUUUUUGUGAAAUUCCAAUGCUCAACAUUGGAGCUGCAGAAAAUACUGCCAGAAUUGAGGAAGAUAGAGGUAAGCGGAAUUCCUAGUGUAGCGGUGAAAUGCGUAGAUAUUAGGAAGAACACCAGUGGCGAAGGCGGCUUUCUGGACUGUAACUGACGCUGAGGCACGAAAGCGUGGGGAGCGAACAGGAUUAGAUACCCUUGUAGUC